UGUGAAUGAUGACAAGUCUCUUCCUGAAAUCACUGAGGGUACAAACUGAUUUAAUGAGCCUGAUGC
rnacentral:snoRNA from 1 species